CUUUUCACCGCUCCCGCCCGUUGUUUCAAGCGCUUCGGGACUACAAUCCCAGCAUGCUCCGGGCUCGGGGGCGGGGUGCAGUUCUUGUGGGAGGAGUGGGGCGGGGCGGGGCGCGCCUGGCCAGGCAGGCUGGAAACGGUAGCUCUUAACUGUUCCCCGCCCGUUGAUGACGAGGCGGCUGGACUAGAAUCCCAGCAGGAAACAUGAGAGGAGGCGGGCAGCCCAAGAGGGUUGGGCAGGGCAGUGUGGACCUCGCCGCUUCCACAGCGAUGCUGGCUACUGAUCGCGGGCACCUCCUUGCCAUGGGAUAAAAAUGUUGCUAACCCCCCGACCCCCCCAGCCACCAGAAUUUCGAUUAAAAGAGACUAAAGUGAUGUGACAAUGAAAUGCAAUGUGUGAGCCUGUCUCAAAUUGGAUCCUAGACCAGAAAAAGGACAUUUGAGGGGAAACUGGCAACGUUUGAAAGGGACCUGCAGAUUAGACGAUAAAGUGCCUCAAGGUCAGUUUCUUGAUUUCACUCAUUUUACUGUGGUUCUGUGAGCUGUUAGCCUUUGGGAAAUCUG
rnacentral:lncRNA from 10 species